rnacentral:rRNA from 1 species
CCUAUGGGAGGCAGCAGUAGGGAAUCUUCCACAAUGGACGCAAGUCUGAUGGAGCAACGCCGCGUGAGUGAAGAAGGGUUUCGGCUCGUAAAGCUCUGUUGUUGGUGAAGAAGGACAGGGGUAGUAACUGACCUUUGUUUGACGGUAAUCAAUUAGAAAGUCACGGCUAACUACGUGCCAGCAGCCGCGGUAAUACGUAGGUGGCAAGCGUUGUCCGGAUUUAUUGGGCGUAAAGCGAGCGCAGGCGGCUCGAUAAGUCUGAUGUGAAAGCCUUCGGCUCAACCGGAGAAUUGCAUCAGAAACUGUCGAGCUUGAGUGCAGAAGAGGAGAGUGGAACUCCAUGUGUAGCGGUGAAAUGCGUAGAUAUAUGGAGGAACACCAGUGGCGAAGGCGGCUCUCUGGUCUGUAACUGACGCUGAGGCUCGAAAGCGUGGGUAGCGAACAGGAUUAGAUACCCAGGUAGUCC